GUCCCUCCCUCUAAAAGCACUCUGUGUGGGGAACAUGAGAGCCAGACCAAAGCUCAGAGGAACCCACCUGGACCUCCACCCAGCUCUGUGUCCUUAAAGAGUGAUGCAUCUAAAGAUAACCCCAUUUAUUUUAACAUCCAGCAGGCAUCUGCUGCAGAGAGAGUGGACCAAGAGAGUUCAGAGGUUCCCAGUGGUCAGUCUGCCCAGCAGCAUCAAACA